rnacentral:rRNA from 1 species
GAUCAAGUGACUUAAGGGCAUUCGGUGGAUGCCUUGGCGCUGAGAGGCGAUGAAGGACGUGGUACGCUGCGAAAAGCCAUGGGGAGCUGCGAACGAGCUUUGAUCCAUGGGUCUCCGAAUGGGGCAACCCACUCCUGCGAAGGAGUAUCCCGCAAGGGAGGCAAACCCGGGGAACUGAAACAUCUCAGUACCCGGAGGAAAGGACAUCAACAGAGACUCCGCUAGUAGUGGCGAGCGAACGCGGAUCAGGCCAGUGCCUUGACUGACGUUACCGGAACAGCCUGGAACGGCUGGCGUUAUGGGUGAUAGCCCCGUACGGGACGGCGAAGGUUGAGGACAUGAGUAGGGCGGGACACGUGAAAUCCUGUCUGAAAUUGGGGGGACCACCCUCCAAGCCUAAGUACUCCUCAGCGACCGAUAGCGAACAAGUACCGUGAGGGAAAGGUGAAAAGCACCCCGACAAGGGGAGUGAAACAGUUCCUGAAACCGGAUGCCUACAAACAGUGGGAGCCCAAGGUUCGUCCUGGGUGACCGCGUACCUUUUGUAUAAUGGGUCAGCGAGUUAGUCUGGCGAGCGAGCUUAAGCCGGUAGGUGUAGGCGCAGCGAAAGCGAGUCUGAACAGGGCGUUCAGUUCGUCGGAUUAGACCCGAAACCGGGUGAUCUAGCCAUGGCCAGGCUGAAGGUGCGGUAACACGCACUGGAGGGCCGAACCGGUGCCUGUUGAAAAAGUCUCGGAUGAGCUGUGGCUAGGGGUGAAAGGCCAACCAAACCCGGAGAUAGCUGGUUCUCCGCGAAAGCUAUUUAGGUAGCGCCUCGAGUGAAUACUCCAGGGGGUAGAGCACUGGAUGGGCUAGGGGGUCCCACAGACCUACCAAACCCAACCAAACUCCGAAUACCUGGAAGUACUGCUCGGGAGACACACGGCGGGUGCUAACGUCCGUCGUGAAGAGGGCAACAACCCUGACCGCCAGCUAAGGCCCCUAAUUCGUGGCUAAGUGGGAAAGGAUGUGGGGAUCCCAAAACAACCAGGAUGUUGGCUUAGAAGCAGCCAUCAUUUAAAGAAAGCGUAACAGCUCACUGGUCUAGACAAGGGUUCCUGCGCCGAAGAUGUACCGGGGCUCAAGCCACGAGCCGAAGCUGCGGGUGUGCGAAAGCACGCGGUAGCGGAGCGUUCCGUAAGCCUGUGAAGGGGUAGCCGUGAGGCGCCCUGGAGGUAUCGGAAGUGCGAAUGCUGACAUGAGUAACGAUAAAGGGUGUGAGAGACACCCUCGCCGAAAGUCCAAGGGUUCCUGCGUAAAGUUAAUCUGCGCAGGGUUAGCCGGCCCCUAAGGCGAGGCCGAAAGGCGUAGUCGAUGGGAAUGGGGUUAAUAGUCCCCAGCCAGCGGAUGGUGACGGAUCGGGUAAAUUGUGCACACUUAUCGGAUUGUGUGUGCAGUGAACCGGUUCCAGGAAAUAGCCUCCGCAUGAGACCGUACCCGAAACCGACACAGGUGGACAGGUAGAGUAUACCAAGGCGCUUGAGAGAACUCUGCUGAAGGAACUCGGCAAAUUGCCUCCGUAACUUCGGGAUAAGGAGGCCCCGGUUGUGGGCAACCAUGAUCGGGGGGCACAAGCCAGGGGGUGGCGACUGUUUAACAAAAACACAGGGCUCUGCGAAGCCGCAAGGCGACGUAUAGGGUCUGACGCCUGCCCGGUGCCGGAAGGUUAAGAGGAGAGGUGCAAGCUUUGAAUCGAAGCCCCGGUAAACGGCGG